rnacentral:lncRNA from 1 species
AAAGAAGAAUGGAGAAUAAGAUUUACUCUUUAAUAAUUUCAUUGUAUUUAUAAAUGCACAAGUAGAUGUAUAUAAUAUACAUUGAUAAAUGUAGCUAAUAGCAGAUAAAUGCACAGUCAUUCACAUUUUAGCUUGAUUUACAUAAAUAUCAAGUCAGGAACUUAAGCAGUAGGGUAAGAUGCUUGCAUUGCAAUGCCACAUAGUCCUUCAGCAGCAUCGACUCCCCUUUGCAUCCUAAUGUAUCCUUCUUCUCCCCAAUCAGCUCCCCAUGAGUUCUUAACCAACCAAUACUUGCUUCCAUCACUAUCGAUACCAAAACCCACAGCAGUGACACCGUGAUCGAGCUCAGUUCCACAUGAACCAGUAAAAACACCGCUUUUAUAAAAUUGAAAGUCGGAUCCACUAGCAUCAAUGGCUACAGAAAUUGGUUGAUUUGCAACAGCUUUUUGUAGUGCCUGCUCAUUGUUGGCCGGGACAUCUUCAUACCCAGUAAUGGUAGCCGCUUGGGUGGAUGCUUGGUUUGCACUGCAAGUUCCAUCAACACCUUGAUAGGGGUAUUGAGCUUCCGUGCUGAGUCCAUGAUUUUGAAUGAUGAAUUUGAAAGCAUCAUCCAUAAGACCACCCUCACAACCUUGGUCCACACCUUUUGUGUCGCAAUCAACAAGUUCUUGUUCUGAUAAAGAGACCAAUUUUCCAGUACUCAACUGAUGAAUUCCUUCGGUUGCUGCAACAGCAGAAAAGGCCCAACAACAUCCUACAAAAGAUCAAUUAAUAUUAAUUAGAGUUUGACAACAGUUAAACUUAUAUUAGAAAAUACUGAUUUGAAUGCUUUAUUUAUUAGAUAGACACUUACCACAUUGACCUUGAUUCUUCACUGGCGUCACAGCUCCUUUCUUCCUCCAAUCAACUGUGGAUGGAAUUGUAGUUACAUUUUCAUAUCUAAAAGUAGUUGUCCUUGUGAUUGAGGAGCACAUAUGUCCCUUGAAUUUGUUUCUAGAUGUUGUGAACUCCUCGUUCGUGAGGUCUGCAAACUGAUUAAUGCCUAGUUUGUAUGAUUUGUUACUGUCAGCAUUGUUAGACGCUUCAAUGUAGUUCACGUUUUCUGCAAAUAUCUUUAAACGACUCUCCCUUUCUUGAGAAUCCUUAUAGACUUUGCCAUAGUGACUCAUCCAUUGUUGGUGCCUCUCAUAGAUAGAGUCGUCUUGGAGAGUGCGAGAAGUGACUUGGAGAGCACACAAUCCCAAGCAGAAUAUGAAUGUCAAGGCAAUACUAUGAUGUAAUUGAUUUUGAGCAGCCAUGUUGUGUGUGAGAAACAAGUGUUUUUAGUUGAUUAGUUAGCAGUUAAAUGUGAGAAAGAAGUGUGGUGUGUAUACUGAAUGAUCUUUGUGGUAUUUAUACUUAGAAAAUUCGAUGGUGAAUUGAAAUGAUAGUUUUCAAUUUAAAGAUUAAAACAAAUUUAUGUUCAAUAUGUAGUUACGUACUCGUGAGAAAUUUCUGAAUGAUACAUUAUGUGAAUAGCUAUUUGGCAAAGUUGCUAUGGACAAACUUUAUGUCAAGGGAAUCACUCAAAGGAAGCCUGGUCCGUUGGAAAUAUUUUGGAUUAUAAAACUGAAGGCAGACCAGAAGUUUGUUUGAGACAAUAAUUAUAAAAUGCUUAUGAACAACAAAUUUAUUAAAAUGUAUGGUAAUACUUCUAAUCUACAUUAAUAGCAAAUUAACUAAAGGUAAUACAAAUAUCAUAGUAGAGAGCGAACCACAAUUUAUCUCAAACGAGGAACAUACUAAUCCUAUUCCUAAUUAAAUAUGAACAAGUUUUUAAUUUGUCAAUAUACAUUACAUUCUUUACAAUAUUAAAAAUUUCCAAAUCCAUCCUUACGACCGACUAAUUCAAGAGGAUAUGCACCGACCCAACGGAGACUUUGUUUAAAGACAGAACAAAACUCUGUAUGCACCGACCCAACACAAAAAUUAUUAACAUCUAGUAGGAUUCAAACUCAGGACCUUGAGAGGAGCACACUCUCAAGACUCAAAUCUCCACUACUAAACCAACAUUCACAUGUUAGUCAUAAUGAAAACAAUCUGAAUUUCUUUUAGAUAUCAGAUACCCCAAUUGAAUUGCAAAACAGACAUGACUUUUAUAGUUGUUCUAAUUAAUGAAAUUUUUAUUGCACAAGUUAUUAAGUAAGUCGUGUAACAAAUAUAAUAGGAUAUAUUUUUCUUUAUAAACACCUUAAAUAAAAUCCUUUUAACACUUCUUUUUGAAAACACCAACCUUAAGAAGAUUUUUUCCUCAAUGACUCCCCGUCACUAACUUCUCAAGAGCAUGACCAACCUGAUCGCUUGAGGAACAUAACCAACUGGAUUAUAGCAGUUUGUGUUUACAAGUGUGCUUCUUAGAUAAACAUAUUACAUAAGAUGAAGUUUAGAUAAUUACACUUAAGAGAUAUGCAAUGAAAGUUCUACGUGUUUCUCUCUUUGUUGUGUUGUGAUGUUAUGGCUUCAGCAUCUACUAAGAUUCACACACAUCCACAUGCAUGCUUGCGUUCACACAUUCUUUCUUCCUUUUUACUUUCUUAUCUCUUUUAUGUUCACUCUCUCUCCGGCAUCUUGUUUUUCACCUUCCAUAUUCUUCAGAAUAUAUAGGACAUGAAUUGUUCCGUUGGAGGAUAGAAUAGGAGUUAAGCGGCGCUUGCAGUAGAGAGUUAUUUGAUGAUGGGACGUGAGAAGUCUUCUUUACUUUAAAAAUAGAUUUGCUUUUUGAACUCCUGUCACAUUAAGCAGAAAAGACAUUAAAUUAGAUCUUCUAAUCAGAGGCUUCUUAUGAAAGUGGUUGGAAGCUUGAGUAGAGAUUAGAAUCUAUCUUCAUUAGGAAAUCUCUUUUUGAUUGUACUUGAGUAUACUACUCGUCAUAAUCAACGGCUUCAUAUAAUUGAUAAAGUGAAGCUUGAUCAGAGUCCAGAGCCUAGAUGAUAUAUACAACAAAGUCUAUUCAAAGUGAGACUUGAAAGUACUACAGUCUAGAGUGAAUGUGAACAAUAAAUGCAGAAACAUUUAAUACUUUGUUCAUGUCAUAUGCGUUGACUAUAAGAGAAUAUUUCAUUUGCUUACCAACUCUAGUCAGAGGCUUCUAAUAUAACUUUGUGAAGCUUAAGUAGAAUUCAGAAGUUGUCUUCAGAACAUUUAGAGACUUCAAAGUCCUUUGAGUAUUGGGUUCUAAGACUUACAGACACACUUGUAGUCAUAGCUUUAUCAGAGUUUGUCUGGAUGAUUUCUAUUCAGAAACGUUGACUUGAUAAUCUUGAAACUUGAAUUUUGUUAAACACAUCUUUUUAUUCUUCCUUUGUUCAACAUGUGGUUUUCCUUUCUUCAACUUGCUUUCUGCUUUCUUCAGAGUUUGGCUUAUAUAAUUUGAUAUCGUUCAAAUCUUGCUUUGAUUUUAAGUUUACUUUCCAUUAGGCUUUGAUGUCUUAUGAGUUGACAAACAUAGUUGACUUCUUUCAGAGUCUUCAACUAUCAAAGUUUCCCUCAGGCAAGCAAUUUAAGUUCCUUGAUCAAAAUCUGCUUCAGUUAGUGUUUUCUGUUUCCAUUUAGAUUCCACUCCGAUCUUUUACUUUCUGCACACUUGACAAAUAGUUAGUGCACAAAAAAUUUCUCUUAUACACUUUGUUAUCAUAAAAACUUAAAGGUAUGUAGAUGUAAAACCAUACUUGUUCUUAUAAUCUCCCCCUUUUUGAUGAUGACAAACAAAUGUAUUUUGAUGAACAAUUUUUUACUUUGAUAAUCAUGUUUAUAAAAUUCCAGAGUUAGGUUUGUAAGCUCCCUCUGAAUUUUUUACUUUAAAAGUAAUUUCUUCAACUCAAAUCUACAAAGUGAGGUUUGCAAGCUCCCACUGAGUUUAAGAUUUAAAAUAACUUUGAUUUUAUUGAAAAUUCAUAUAAGAUAAACAUAUUUAUAAAACAUUUGAGAUAUUCUUGUAAGCUUCCCCUGAGUUCUAUACUUUCAAAAUUAUAUCUUCAUCUUAAAUAUGAAAAGUGAGAUUUGCAAGCUCCCUCUGAGUUUAAGAUUCCAAAUAAUUUUGGUUUCAAUGAAGGUUGAAUUCAGAUAAAUAUGCUAAAAACUUUAGAGUAAGGUUUGCAAGCUUUCUAUGAGUGUUUUGGACUAUAAAAAAUUCUUUAUCACAAAGUACUGAGUGAGGUUUAGAGGCUCCCUCUGAGUACAAGACUUAGAAUUUUGAUUCCAUGAAAUUUGUUUGAAAAAUAACUACUUUAUCUUUAGAGUUGUUAGAUUAAAUUAUUCAGAGUCAUUAUCAUUGACCUCUUCAGAAUGUUAAUGUUAACACACUCUUUAGAUCACUUCUCUUCUUCCCUUUUGCUUAAUGUAUGGGAUAUUAUCAACUGAAUAAAAUUUAUCAAAAUCAUUACUCUUCUCCCUUUUUAUCAUUAUAAAAAAGAAUCAUAGAAUGAUACCAAUUGAAGGAAGUUAAAAUGAGGAUAGAGAGAAUAAAAUAUUCAUGAAUAGAGAAGGUUACACAAAAGUAUUUUAGAGGGAAGGCCGGAUAACACAGAGAAAACACCAAAAACAAAAGAUACAGGAACUAAUAUCCAUAUGAUUUUUCCUAAGGAUCUCACUUCAUUUUCUUUUGAGUCCUUAAUCCUUCAACACCUUCUAACUUAUUUCCCCAGGAGGUCUAAAGCACUUCAGUUAAACCUUCCAUAAGUACUUUCUUAACUAUCCCUUUUUCAACAAACAGUUCAUAGAGAACUCUCCCAAAAUGAAUGAAGGAAAACUCACCCUCACAAGAGGUUAAGAUUUUCUCCUUCAGAUAGUUGAAGAUAGUAAGAGGUAUAUUUACCUUUACCCUUGAAAUGAGGAAGUCGAUGAGGUAUUGUCAUCCAUAGACAAGAACGGAGACUUCUGAUCCAUUGGUAAAAGUCUGUGAUAAUCACCAGAUAUCAUAACUUUUCCACAUGAGUUAGAUCAAAAGCUAUGGAAGGGUUUCCAGAACUUUUGGUAAUGGAAAGAAUGUCUUUGCGAAAGGUGAGGUUGGUUUUAUAACACACAAUAUCGACACCAUCUUCUUUACACUUAAUGAUAUCAGCAAUAAGUGAAUGAGUGAUGGUAAUAGGAGUGUUUAAGACAACAUACCAGAUUUUCUCAACAUUAUCGUUAUUAAAAUGAAUCGCAUCAUUCAACUAAAAGCUUUUGACAAGACCAGGAAAGACUAGACUAGGGAGCAUUUCAAAAUAGUUUCCCCACCGUUGAGAGGUAACCAGAUUUUGAAUGUUGGACCCUAUGGCUUUUAGCUCUUUAAUGUUAACAACUUGUUCGAAAAUGGUAACAAGCUUGGUGUCAUCGUCGUGGAAGGUUUUAAUGGAAGUCAUUUUAGGAGAUACCAAUUGAAGGUACAAGGAGAAAUUAAGAGUAAAAAAGAAAAGAAUGAGUGAUAUGAUGAGAGAAUAAAACAAUACUAGGUUUAUAUAUAGGUGGAGGAGAGGAAGAGUAAGAGUUUAAAAAAGACUCAAUGAACAAAUAGAAAAGAGAGAGAGAACAAACUAACUCCAAAGAAAACUGAAAAAGACACAAAACAUAUGAGAGAGAUGCAGAGAGAGAGAGAAGAGAGAAAGAUCUCUGGAGAGUGGGAUCGGAACACGUGAGAGAUUGAGCAGGAGCACGAGAGCAGCGACCGAGAGAGAGAGAGAUCAUUGCUAUUCUAAUUAAUUAAUGACGUAGGGAGUGCAUAAGCAUGAGUUUGUUUUACCCAAUUAAAAUAAUAAUUACCAAAAGGUUCUUCAAGUGUUUUUGACAACUUAGAAGAUAGUGGGACAACUUGUUACACAUAUUAUCUAUAACAAAGUACUUGAGAGUAACUAAAUAUUUUCUAAAGAUUAAAAUACAGAUAAAUUCCAACAGGGUUCUGACUUAGAAUCUUCUAAAGAAGACAAUCUUCUCACGCAGAAAGUUGAUUGGUUCAGAGGUGAAAUCUUAGAAUCAGAUUUAAUCAUUCGGAUGUUAUGCAUUAUGAGAUUUCAUCAUUCAUUUCAUGACAAGAUUUUACUGUAAGUUCUUUUCAACAAAAAGAAACUUGUAUUCAACAAGGGAUUUUAGAUAAGGUAUCAACCUAUUAAGGGUUUGUAUUAGUGAAUAUCCUUCUAAACAUUGCAUUUGAUGAAAUGAUGUUUAUCUUAGUAUGGUUGGCAUUUUGAAUGCACCAUAUGAUUCAUAGAUAAACACAAGGAAGAGAGUAAUCAAUGGGAAAGGAAAGUUUAUGUUAGACGAUAUAUCUAGAUCUAUAGAGGAGUGAAUAGAUCCCGAGUUAAAAAAAAUUGACAAAAAUAGUUUGAAAAUUUUAUGGCGUGGAAGCAAGUUACAAAUAUCCUGGAUCAAAAAUCGUCUAACCGAACCCGCUAUCAAAACGCUCGGAUAUGCGUAUUAACGACAACGGUAUGAUAAUGAUUCACAAAUCAAUCAACAAUAACUAAUCACAUCUAGUUGAAUGCAAAGUAAUACGGGAAGUCUAUCUCCAAUGAAAAUUCACAAAAAAAUAAAAAUGAAGCAAUUUGUCGAACACUUAGUGUGCGAUCAAUAAUGUUUGGAAUUAUAUGUGGUAUUGUUGUUCUAGAACUCCAAUCACAACCAAAUGGUUUAUGAUAUACAACAACACCAAUUUCAAAAUAUCUUCAAAAUUAUGAUCCAAACAAAAUUGAUCAACUGAUCAAUGUAAUCGACAAUUUUCAAAUUGAAAAAGAGAGAGAGAGAGAGAGAGAGAAAGCAUACAAGGAUUUGUUUAGGCAGUUCCCCGAUCGACCUCGUUACGGGUACGUCCGCCCUCAAUUCGAAUGCGAACUAAGAUAAUAUAUUAUAUCUUACUUUGCAAAUAUGUGUAUAUAAGAGAUGUAGAAAUCUAACCCUAUAAACCCUAGGCUUGAUGUUGAUUCUACCACCUCCAAAACCCUUGAUCAAAAGAUUGAUCAAGUAACCAACAAUGCCGCUUCAAUUCACCGUUUCACGCUACUUUUUUGAAAGAAACCCAUUUUCACCACUCAAACCAAAAACAAAGAUGUUAUCAAAACAAUGACACACAAUAAGAAUUUUGAUAACAUUAUAACAUGUUCAACCAUAUUUCAUGCAAGAAUAGAUAACAAACCAAUGUACGAAAUGCAUAUUUCAAGCAUAUAGAAAGAAUAACACAAAGUCACUAUAAGCAUAUAAGUUGACAUACAUCAGUACAAUUUUUCGGAAGUGAACAUUCAUGAACUAUUUCGUACAACAAGAAUAUUAAUUAUUUGGAGCACAAGCAACAUGCAAAAGUAAAAGCCUACUUACAAAAAGGGAACAAAAAAAUGGAAAAUGGAACAAUGUUACCUCUCUCAUGAAUUGAUGAAGGAUGCACUCUUCUGUGGUCGACCUUCCAAGGAAAUUUAGAGAAAAAAUAUAUAAAUUGGAUGCAACAAAUAAUAUUUAGGCGAGAUAUGAGACAUCAAGUAUCCCCAAUUCUCUUCGAAUGUUGAAAAAUGGUUCGGUUGCAAGAGGUUUUGUAAAGACAUCCGCAAGUUUAUUUUUACUAUCAACAUGCUCAAAUACAACGUCUUAUUUCUCAACAUGUUCAUGUAGGAAGUGGUGACGAAUCUCAAUAUGCUUAGUGCGAGAGUAUAUCACCAGAUUUUUGGUUAGAUUAAUGGCCUUAGUGUUGUCGCACAUCAUAGGAUCACAUUAAUUUAAUAUCAAAAUCAAGUAGUUUUUGUUUGAGCCACAAAAUUUGAGCACAACAACUACCGGGCGCUACGUAUUCCGUCUCGGCAGUUGAGAAAGCAACAAAAACCCGUUUCUUGCUAUGCCAACUUACUAAGGAAUUUGAAAACAUGUGGUAAGUUCCACUAGUACUCUUCCUAUCCGAUUUGAAACUGUAAAAAUAGAAAUCGGUAUAACCAACCAAAUUACAAUCACGUUACUUAGAAUAACAAAGCGCGUACUUAAAAUUACCAUGAAGAUACCUAAGAAUGCGUUUUACAGCUUUUAAAUGAGAUUCCUUGGGAGCCGAUUGAUAACGAGCGCACAUACACACACACACAACAUAAUAUCCUUCCUAGAUUCAGUGAGCUAUAGAAGAGAACCAAACAUACCUCUAUACUUUUUUACAUCUACAUCCUUACCAUUUUCAUUCCUUUCUAAGUUUCCAUUUGUAUGCAUCAGAUUGUUAAUCGACUUUUCAUCUUCCAUACCAAAUCGAUUGUCAUGUAUGGAACUUGCAAAAAAAUCUAGAACACUGAUUUGUGACAAUCGAUUGUCUCUAUUGUGCCACCGAUUUUCAUGCAUGCAUUCUUCAAUUUUUUUUGAAACUGAGAGUUGUGACAAUCGAUUGUCACAAGGAUGCAACUGAUUGUCACUUGGCGAAUUUUUUCGUUUUUUUUCCAAGUUAAAUCUUGGUCCAAUCACAAUAUUUCUCUCUCCACACUAUAAAAUCCAAAAUAUUCUCACUUGAAGAAAACCCUAGAUGCAUAACCUCAAAUUUGUCCCUCCCUCAAAAGUGAAAAAGGAGGCCCUACACUCUCUCUUCAACUUCAUUUUCUCAAAUUAUCAAACGUUCCAAUGUAGCAACAUCAUCUUCACCAAAGGUUUUCAAACUCCACUAAAUAUUAAGUUUGUUCUUCAUCAACUAUGUCUUUCUCAAAGAAAGAAAAGGAAAAUUCAUAAGAUCAAGAUCUUCUUCUUCAAAUUUGUCAAGACUUAUAGCCUCUCCCCAACCAAUAAAACAAUUUGAGCACUUAUUUCAGUUGAAAUCUCUCAUAUCACCAAAGUUUGGUUCUCGUUAUAAUUUACCUUCUCCAUGAUUUAGUUUCCCUUUACAACUAAAAGCUCAAAAAGUUGAAGAAUUGAUUUCGAUUUAUGGUACUUACUAUCCUGAUUCAGUUAAAGUUUUCUACUGUAACAUGAUCAUUAAGAAGGACAUGAUAAGUUUAUUUGUGAAAGGUGUCCCUAUCUCCUUCUCAGUAAAAGAGUUAGGUAAAUGGCUAGAUAUACCUUAUUGGAGUUGGCGCAACCCACUGCCGAUUAUUUCGUUGAUGUUAUCCAUUAUUCAAUCUUGCCAAUUUAUGUUAUGUUACGUACAUGACCGUAAACCACGAGAUGCAGGCGGGAUUUACAGAGAUGUCGAAUUCAGAUAUGUCAUAUUUCCACCUUCCUAUAUGAUAUAUGACCAUCCCUUUGGAUGACAUAUCAUGCCCCAUGCAUCUUCCCAUCAAGGGAAGGUUAUUGGCCUACAGAAGGGUCGGUUUAGAGGAAUCUGUCGAGAUGAUGGUCACCCAUUUGGGGGCUGAUCCAACUAAGGCGGAAAAUGAGAUAGUUGACAUUAGGGUUUCUCAUUCUAGAUUUAUUUUUUUGGAGCAUAUUUAUAAAAACCAUCUACAUUGGUUUGAGGAUGCAGAAGAUGAUGAUUUGCAUAUUGACUACCAUCAAACUUGUGCAUUGAGGUGUUACCUCUUUUUCUUGGUUGACACGUCUAUUUUUGUGGACAAAAGUGAAACCUACGUCAAUGUGGUCUACCUUAAUUACUUCAUCUACUUGAAGGCGAUUCACGAGUACAACUAGGGAGGUCGCCUAUUUGGUUUACCUAUACUCGAAGCUUAGCAAGGGUUGUCUUUGGAAGACAAAACAAAUGAAUGAGAGUUGCAUGUUGCUUACGGUAAUUUAAUGUUACUAAUAUUUUCAUAAUUCAUUUUUUACACUUUUUAUUAAUAUUGUAUUUGAACCAUUUUUAGGUAUGGUUCAUCUCCCACUUUCCUCACAUCACCGGGUGGGAAGUUGUGCUAGCCUACAAUGAGGAUUGACCAUGUGUUGUCGACUUUACACUGUACAAAGGGAAAAAUGUGAUUGAGCUAUUUCAAGUAUAUCUUGGUCGUACUCUAGCAUAUGGCAUUUCCUUCUACCCAUACGACAGUCAUCGUAAGACGCCUAUGAUGGACCUCAUUUCUUUAUAUUCCAGAUGAGUGUCAUGUGGGUCAUCUCUGAUGUAUCCUUAUUUUCUUGAGCGAGUGAUGCACUAGUUUAUCUAUUUACAGAUUAUUCUAAGACCCCCUCUGUAACACCCCGAUAAAAUAAGAUAAUUAUUUAAAUUGAGUUAAUAAUAUAUUUAUUAAUUUAAUUAAAUAAUUGGAAUUAUUAUUAUUAUUGGAAUAAUAAUUAUUGGAAUAUUAUUGGGAUUACUUAAAUUCAAAACAAUAAGCAUGUUUGCAUAAAACGCAGCGGAUAUAAAUCUCAUCAAUCAUGUAAAACAUGUAACAUGUUGCAUGUAAAAUUAUUCAAUAAGGUAAAACAUCUCAUCCCGAUGUUACAUCUAUCAGAGCACGACCACUAAGGAGACUACACUAGACUCCAAGCACUAGCUUCUACUCAUCACUGCUCGUUACCUGAAAAAUAGUUGUAAGGGUGAGUUUCUCAAUCGAUAUAAUAAGCAUUAUAAAUUAACAUGUAAUGCAAGUAAUCACACAUUCACCCUAAUCAAUCAUACAUUCAGCAGCGGCAACAUCAACUAAAUCAUACUCAACUCAACCAACAACACGUAUAAUAUGGAAUACAUCCAUUCAUAUUAUACGCCAUACAUACAAUGCAAUGAGACUCCAUGCAUGCGGUCCCGACUAUUCGUGAACAUAUAGUUCAACUCACCAACCAAUCCAGGUACGGCUACCAAGCUCACUAGUCCACUCAUUUGAACAGUGACCACAUCACUAAUUCCUCACCAUGGGAAUUACUACCACCCAAGGGCCAUGCUAUGCAGCGCUAAAUCACCUAGCAUGCAAACAUAACACAAUUCACACUAACUCAUCACUAAUUCCUCACCAUGGGAAUUAGCUACACGAUAAAGGCCACAACAUGCUUGCUAAUCACCUAGCAAUGCUACAUCAUCAACACAAUUCAGGAAUAGAUAAUGCUCACACUCUAGCCAUAAAACAGUCUAUUCACAAAUGCACACAUAACUGAUACAUUCACAGCAUCAUGCAUACAUCACACAUCAUCAGUAUUUUAUCACAUAAGCAUAUCAUAUCAUGCCAAAUAAACCACAGUAUUAGCACACUCUACUAAUACUAUACUACUCACAACAACGGGGAAUGUUCCUAAUAUAUCAUCAAUCAGCUAAACACAUUACUCGCUGAACAGCUAAAACUGCACAACAACAGCUCAGGAAAACACAAGUCUGCCAUACGCGUACUGCCUAGCCAUACGCGUAUGCCCAUUCCUCAGCCAAAUCCAUACGCGUAACACCAUCUCAUACGCGUAUACUAUGCGUACCACUUCCCCAUACGCGUACCAACAGAGACCAAACUCGUUCAAACAUCAUCUUCCUCAUCCAUACGCGUAUUGCCUAUGGCCAUACGCGUACCAUGCCAUCUCAUACGCGUAUUGCUAGUGCCAUACGCGUAGACCAGAAACCAACUUCCAGAUCUGCUAUGGCUUCUCUGCUACGAGAUCUAUCCAAUUCAACCUUCCACAGUCCAAUUUUUCACAAUAAUCGUUCAUAUCAUCUAACACGAAUCAUAACCUUCGAUCUCACAAUUUAACACUAUUGCAUCUAAUUCCUACGAAUUCCUUCAAUUUUAAUCCAGAUUCGUUCACCAAAAGUUCACAAUUUCAGCAUAAUUAUUCCAAUCAGAGGUAAAUCAAUGGUUUAUCACUACCCAUGACAUAUUAUCCCAUAAUACCAUUAAUCGACGAUAAACCCCCCUUACUGAGUUAAUCCGCAAAAUCUCUGAGCUUCAAGGUUUCCUCUUCAACCCUUGUUCUCUGGCUUCUUUGCCCUUUUCCACUUUUCUGCCUCUUCCCUUUUCACGUGAAAUAACUUUUUACCAAAUGGAACCUUUUUUACUGAUUUCUACUUUUAUUCAAUAAUAACAAAAUAAUCCAAUAUAAAUCCAAUAAUAUUCAAAUAUUAUUAUCCAAUAAUAAUAUAUUCCAAUAAUUUAAUUAAAUAAUAAUAUAUUAUUAACUCAAUUUAAUAAUUACUUAUUUUAUCGGGGUGUUACAACCUCUCCCCCACUAAAAGAGUUUUCGUCCUCGAAACAUACCUCAAGUGAAUAACUCAGGAUAAGACUCCUUCACUGACUCUCAAGUUCCCAAGUCACAUUGCACCUGCUGUCCGCCCAAGCUACUUUACCAAAGCAAUCUCUUUACCCCGCAACUGCUUCAACUCUCGAUCCCUCGAUCUCAUAGGUGAUGUUCUCAACAGUCAGGUUACCUCACAUGUACAUCAUCUACUUGGACCACGACGGAUCAGGAAUUUACCUCCUCAACUGAGACACAUGAAAAACCUCAUGUAAUUUGCAGUGACGGCGGAAAGCGAUACGAUAGGCUACUUCCCCUAUCCUCUCCAAAAUCUGAAAGGACCAAUAAAUCGAGGUGUCAACUUCUUCGACUUCAAAGCUCGACCACCCAGUUUAUCGGAGUAAACCGAAGAAACACAUGAUCUCCCUCUUGAAACUCAAGUGACUUUCCCUCUUGUCGUCAAACUUCUUCUGACGACUCUGCAGCAUCCUCAUCUCUCCUGACAUCUAAUCUUUUCCGUAGUCGUGUGAACAAUCUCCGGUCCACCACAGCCACUCUCACCGGACUCAUACCAACAUAAAGGCGUCCGACAUCUCUCAUACAACUUCAAAUGGGUCAUACAUAUGCUCGAAUGAAACUAUUGUUGUAGGUAAACUCAAUCAAAGGUAAAUAACACCCAGACACUCCUUCCCAAAACACACUCAAAAGAUCCUCUAGUGCUGAAUCGUCCUCUAGUCUGACCAUACAGUCUGCGAUGAUAGCGACUCAAUCUCAGCUUAGUCCAAGCCCUCUGCAAAUCCCAGAAUUUCGAUGUAAACUAGGAUCUCUAUCCGAAACAAUACUCGAUGGAAUACCCAUGCAAACUUACAACUUUCAUAAACAAUCAGCUAAUCUCUCUAACGGAUAAUCCAUCUGAUCGGAAUGAAAUGAGCCGAUUUCGUCAAUCUAUCAACAAUCACCAAAUGGCUCAAAAUUCUUAUUUUCCUUGGUAAACCCAGAAACAAAAUUCAUACUGAUACUAUCCACUCUCCACUCGGAAAAACCAACGCUGCAUAGCCCAGACGCUCUGAUGCUCAAUCUCGACUUCUGACAAGUCAAACAAGAAUAAACAAAACUCGCAAUUUCUCUUUUCAUUCCGCCACCAAAUACUUUUUCAAAAUCAUGAUACAUCUUCGAGCUCCAGGAUGAAUACUAAGCCACUACGAGUCCUUCCUCCAGGAUACUCUUCUUAAGUCGUAACAUCCGAAUACACACCCGAUACCAAAUUUCAAAACCAUUCUCAUCAACUCUGCUCACCACUUGACCUUGAUUCACUAAAGUCAACUUAUCAACCAAAAGCACAUCGAUUCUGACUCUCUCUAAUCUCAUUCAGAAUACCACUCGUUAACCUUCAACAUCCCAACUAACACUUAUGUGGUACUCUCACACCCCAACUCAAGUCUCUAAACUGCUCAAUUAAAUCCAUCCUUAACCAUUAACAUAGACAAUCAAUGAUUUCCGACUCAAUGCAUCACCACUACGUUUGCUUUACCCGAUGUAAUUCAAACCAAAGUCAAAAUCCCUCAAAAACCUAACCAUCUCCUCUGUCUCAUAUUCAGCUCUUUCUGAUCAAACAAAUACUUAACUCUUAGGCGUUGAAACCUCAAAUCUUGACCCGUACAAGUAAUGUCUCCAUAACUUCAGAACAAAUACCACGGCUGCCACAUCUAAAUCGUGCGUCGGAUAGUUCCCUCAUGAACCCUCAGCUUGUCUCGAAGCAUAAGCAUAACCUGCUUAUUCUGCAUCAACACACCACCCAACCCAACAAUGAACAUCACAGAAAACCUCAAAUAGUUCUGACGGACUUGGUAAUAUAAAAAUAGGAGCAGUAGUUAACCUCUCUUAACUCUGAACCUCUCACAUUCGAGUCCCAAACAAACGCUUGCCUCUAGUCAACACGUCAACGGUAACGCCAACUUAGAAAAUCUUCAAUGAACUUCCUAUAAUAACCUGCAAGUCCAAGAAAACCUCUUAUCUCAGAAACCGACUUCGGAGCUUCCACUUAGAUACCGCUUCUAUCUUAGAAGGAUCAACAGCAACACCACCUCUAGAAAUCACAUGUCCAAGAAAACUAACCUCUUCUAACCAAAAUUCACACUUGGAUAGUUAGCAAAUAACUUCUUUUCUCGAGAACUCCUAACACCACUCUCAAUGCUCAGCAUGCUCUUCUUCAGAUUUCGAAUACACCAAAAUUGCAUCAAUAAACACCACAACAAACUUGUCUAGGUACGGAUGGAAAUCCUAUUCAAUACUCCAUAAAUACUCCAGCGCAUUAGUCCACACCAAAAGGCAUUACAGAAUACUCAUAAUGUCCAUACCUUGUUCUGAAAGCAGUCUUCUGAAUAUCCUCAGCUUCACACGUAUCUGAUGGUACCCAGAUCUCAAAUCUAUUUGUUGAACACACUCGCACCAACCAACUGAUCCAUCAAAUCAUCAAUCCUCGGCAAAGGAUACCGAUUCUUGAUCGUCACUUUAUUCAGUGCUGUAGUCCACAACAACCUCAUAGUACCUUCUUUCUUCUUAACCAAUAACACUGGUGCACCCCACGGUGACACACUACGAACGAUAAAAUUUCUUAUCCAACAGAUCUUCUAACUGACUCUUCAAUUCAGUUAACUCAAUAGCAGACAUACGGUACGGACCAUCGAUAUCGGCCUAGUACCAGGUACCAAAUCAAUCGAGAACUCAACUUCACGCUCUGGCGGUAAUUCAUCACUUCUUCAGGAAACACAUCAGGAAAAAUCAACACCACAGCUAGAUCGCAAAUCACCAGUUUACUUUAGCCUCCAAACGCUAACAGCAUAAACAACUCUCCCCAUCUGCUAUCGCCUCAUUCACCUGCCUUGCUGAUAGAAACAAACUCUUUCCUUCCUCAAUCUCAGGAAAGAUCACAGUCUAUCAAAACAGUUGAUAGAAACUCGGUUAAACACACAGUUCAUACCAAGAUAACAUCGAUCUGCACUAGUGGAAGACACACUAGGUCCAUCCCAAAGUCACUACCAAAAAUACUCAAGGAUAAUUUAAACAACACUGAAGUAGUAGUCACUGAACCCUUCGCAGGAGUAUCAAUCACCAUACUUCCAAGCAUCCAGAUAUUUCUAACUUAGUUUCACAGCACAAUCCAAAGAUAUAAAGCAAUGAGUCGCACUCGUGUCAAUAAACUACAAGAGGAAAGCAUAUAUAACACGUACCUCGAUCAAACGAUCGUCUGCAAAAGUCUCGGAACCCGAUAAAGCAAAGACCUGCCUCCCGACUGGUUCUCUUUCUUCGGCUUGGACACUGUGGGCUAAUAUGACCCACCUCUCCAUAGUUGAAACAAGUCACAGUCUUCAACCGGCACUUUGCAGCCAAGUGACCACCUUUGCCACACUAAAACACUUCUUCUCAUUACUGGUACACUCAUGGAAACGAUGUCCAGCCUGACCACAUCGUAACACUUAGCAGGGGCACUGGAGUCUCCCACUAGGCCUCUUCAUCCCACUUUGUCUCUGGAAACUUGCCAGCUGCAUACGGUUUCCCACGAUCAUCUGAUUCUUGCCUUUCUAUCAACCCUUUGCUGAUAGCUCUCGCUCUAGCCUUGGAAUCCUGUUCAAAAAUCCUGCAACAGUCAACCAAAUCAAAAAACACUCUAAUCCGCUGAUACCCAAAAGCCUGCUUAAUCUCGGGACGUAACCCGUUCUCAAACUUCACACAUUUCGAAAAUUCCCCAGUAGCUCGUUAUAGGAGUGUAAUACUUACAGCUCUGGAACUUAGCAGCAUACUCAGUAACAGACCUGUACCUUGUUUCAAUUCCAGAAUUCUAUCUCUUUCUUCCUCUGACAUCCUCUGGAAAGUACUUCCAGAAAUCUCUCUCUGAAUACAGCCCAAGUGUAUCAGCAUUCCACAGCAGAUCCAACUCAGUACGGGUAGCACCCCACCAGUCAUCUGCUUCUUCUGACAGCAAUGCGUACCGAACCUGACCUCUGGUAAUCGGCACACUCAGUCACUCGGAAGAUCCUCUCGAUUUCCUCAACCACUUCGAGCACCAUCUGGUCGUAUGCUCCCUUAAACAUUGGAGGAUUGUUCUUCUGGAACUCACUCAGUUGACGAGCAGCUCCCAUUCCCACAACAUUCGGAUUUCCUCCAAGUACUCCAGCUAGCAUACCCAGAGCUCAGCAAUCGCACAUCAUCUCUACCUCUCCAGCCAUCUCUAUUCUGAAAACCCAACAAGCUAAAACAAUAAGUACUGAUAGGUUACACAACACCUAUCCCGUACAGGGAAACAAAAUAAUUACGACUCGACUCGACCGACUAUGCUCUGAUACCACUAAUGUAACACCCUUCUAAAACCCAAUAUUUAAUUAAAAUAAUAAAAUAUCUCAAUCAGAGUAAAUUGCAAUUAAGGGUGUCACACAAUAUUCACACCAUUCAACAAUAUAACUGUCAUGCUCUUUUGUUAAUUCAAACACAAGCAUUUUUGCAUAAAACGCAGCGGAAUAAAAUCUCAUCAAUCAUGAAAACAUGUAACAUGUUGCAUGUAAAAUUAUUCAAUAAGGUAAAACAUCUCAUCCCGAUGUUACAUCUAUCAGAGCACGACCACUAAGGAGACUACACUAGACUCCAAGCACUAGCUUUACUCAAUCACUGCUCGUUACCUGAAAAUAGUUUGAAGGGUGAGUUUCUCAAUCGAUAUAAUAAGCAUUAUAAAUUAACAUGUAAUGCCAAGUAAUUUCACACAUUCACACCCUAAUCAGAUCAUACAUUCAGCAGCGGCAACAUCAACUAAAAUCUACUCAACUCAACCACAAAACACACGUAUAAUAUUGGAAUACAUCCAUCUCAUAUAAUACCCAUAACAUACAAUGCAUGAGACUCCAUGCAUGCGUACCGACAUUCGUGAACAUAUAGUUCAACUUCACCGACCAAAUCAGGUACGGCUACCAAGCUCACAGUCCCACUCAUUUGAGACCUAGUGACUCACAUCACUAAUUCCUCACCAUGGAAUUAGCUACCACCCAAGGGUCAUGCUAUGCACGCUAAAUCACCUAGCAUGCAAACAUCAACAACAAUUCACACUAACUCAUCACUAAUUCCUACACAUGGGAAUUAGCUACCACCAUAAAGGCCACAACAUGCAUGCUAAUCACCUAGCAAUGCUACAUCAUCAACAACAAUUCAGGAAUAGAUAUAUGCUCACACUCUAAGCCAUAAACAGUCUAUUCACAAUGCACACAUAACUGAUACAUUCACAGCAUCAUGCAUACCACACACACAUCAUAUUUAUCACAAUAAGCAUAUCAUAUCAUGCCAAAUAACAACCACAGUAUUAGCACACUCUACUAAUACCUAUACUACUCACAACAACGGGGAAUGUUCCUAAUAUACAUACAUCAGCUAAAUCACAUUACUCGGCUGAACAGCUAAAACUGCACAACAACAGCUCAGGAAAAUCCAAAUCUGCCAUCACGGUAUUGCCUAGUCCCAUACGCGUAUGGCCCAUUCCUCAGCCAAAUCCCAUACGCGUAACACCAUCUCAUAACGCGUAUACUACGCGUACCACUUCCCCACACGCGUACCAACAGAGACAAAUAACUACGUUCAAAACAUCAUCUCCUCCCCAUACGCGUAUUGCUAGUGCCAUACGCGUACCAUGCCAUCUCAUACGCGUAUUGCCUAGUGCCAUACGCGUAUGACCAGAACCAAACUCUAGAUCUGCUAUGGCUUCUCUGCUACGAGAUCUAUCCAAUUCAACCUCCACAAGUCCAAUUUUUCACAAUAAUCGUUCAUAUCAUCUACACGAAUCAUAACCUUUCGAUCUCACAAUUCUAACACUAUUGCAUCUAAUUCCUACGAAUUUCCUUCAAUUUAAUCCAGAUUCGUUCAUCCCAAAGUUCACCAAUUUUCAGCAUAAUUAUUCCAAUCAGAGUAAAUCAAUGGUUAUCACUACCCAUGACAUAUUAUCCCAUAAUACCCAUUAAUCGACGAUAAACCCCCCUUACCUGAGUUAAUCCGGCAANNNAUACCCAUACAAUACAAAUGCAAUGAGACUCCAUGCAUGCGGUACCGACUAUUCGUGAACAUAUAGUUCAACUUCACCGACCAAAUCCAGGUCGGCUACCAAGCUCACUAGUCCCACUCAUUUGAGACCUAGUGACUCACAUCACUAAUUCCUCACCAUGGGAAUUAGCUACCACCCAAGGGUCAUGCUAUGCACGCUAAAUCACCUAGCAUGCAAACAUCAACAACAAUUCACACAACUCAUCACUAAUUCCUCACAUGGGAAUUAGCUACCACCAUAAAGGCCACAACAUGCAUGCUAAUCACCUAGCAAUGCUACAUCAUCAACAACAAUUCAGGAAUAGAUAUAUGCUCACACUACAGCCAUAAAACAGUCUAUUCACAAAUGCACACAUAACUGAUACAUUCACAGCAUCAUGCAUACCAUCACACAUCUCAUUAUUUAUCACAUACAUAUAAUCAUGCCAAAUACAACCACAGUAUUAGCACACUCUACUACAACACAAUACCUAUAUAUCACACAACGGGGAAUUGCCUAAUAUACAUACAUCAGCUAAAUCACAUUACUCGGCUGAACAGCUAAAACUGCACAACAACAGCUCAGGAAAAUCACAGUCUGCCCAUACGCGUAUUGCCUAGUCCCAUACGCGUAUGGCCCAUUCCUCAGCCAAAUCCCAUACGCGUAACACCAUCUCAUACGCGUAUACUACGCGUACCACUUCCCACACGCGUACCAACAGAGACUAAACUACGUUCAAAACAUCAUCUUCCUCAUCCAUACGCGUAUUGCCUAGUGCCAUCCGCUACCAUGCCAUCUAUACGCGUAUUGCCUAGUGCCAUACGCGUAUGACCAGAAACCAGACUUCUAGAUCUGCUAUGGCUUUCUCUGCUACGAGAUCUAUCCAAUUCAACCUUCCACAGUCCAAUUUUCACAAUAAUCGUUCAUAUCAUCUAACACGAAUCAUAACCUAUUCGAUCUCACAAUUUCUAACACUAUUGCAUCUUAUUCCUACGAAUUCCUUCAAUUUUAAUCCAGAUUCGUUCAUCCCAAAAGUUACAAUUUCAGCAUAAUUAUUCCAAUCAGAGGUAAAUCAAUGUUUAUCACUACCCAUGACAUAUUAUCCCAUAAUACCCAUUAAUCGACGUAAACCCCCCUUACCUGAGUUAAUCCGGCAAAUCUCUGAGCUCAAGGUUUCCUUCCUUCAACCCUUUUCUCUGGCUUCUUUGCCCUUUUCCACUUUUCUGCCUCUUUUUCCCUUUUCACGUGAAAAUAACUCUUUUUACCAAAUGGAACCUUUUUACUGAUUUCUACUUUUAUUCCAAUAAUAACAAAAUAAUCCAAUAUAAUUAUCCCGAGCAUGACAGUUAUAUUGUUGAAUGGUGUGAAAUAUUGUGUGACACCCUUAAUUGCAUAUUUACUCUGAUUGAGAUAUUUAUUAUUUUAAUUAAAUAUUUGGGGGUAUUUUAGAAGGGUGUUACACCCUCCCCCUCAGAGUCUGGUCCUCCCAUCAUCCGCUGUAGAGAUAUAAAUAUGAUUCUUGAUGAUUUAGAGAGUUACUUGUUACUAGAGGAUUAUCUUAGGGUGGCAGCUCCUUUAUAAUGGGCUUAUGCUGAUGACUACAUAACAUUGUUAUAUAGCGUGUCACACCCUAUCUUGACACCAAACGCUCUUAGAAGACCACAUAGGCCAACUAAUCAGGAGGUACUUGAGGCUAGAGAUGACCACACCGAGGACGUGUCAGGGGUCUGUUGGAGUAUUGUGGAGAUGGGGAGAUUAGGCAUAUAGGCAAGACUUUUUGAAG